rnacentral:rRNA from 1 species
AUUGAACGCUGGCGGCAGGCCUAACACAUGCAAGUCGAGCGAGCGGCGGACGGGUGAGUAAUGUCUGGGGAACUGCCUGAUGGAGGGGGAUAACUACUGGAAACGGUAGCUAAUACCGCAUACCAUCGGAUGUGCCCAUAUGGGAUUAGCUUGUAGGUGGGGUAACGGCUCACCUAGGCGACGAUCCCUAGCUGGUCUGAGAGGAUGAGCAGCCACACUGGGACUGAGACACGGUCCAGACUCCUACGGGAGGCAGCAGUGGGGAAUAUUGCACAAUGGGCGCAAGCCUGAUACAGCCAUGCCGCGUGUAUGAAGAAGGCCUUCGGGUUGUAAAGUACUUUCAGCGGGGAGGCGUUACCCGCAGAAGAAGCACCGGCUAACUCCGUGCCAGCAGCCGCGGUAAUAC